rnacentral:rRNA from 1 species
UAGGGAAUCUUCCGCAAUGGACGCAAGUCUGACGGAGCAACGCCGCGUGAGUGAAGAAGGAUUUCGGUUCGUAAAACUCUGUUGUUAGAGAAGAACAGCGCAUAGAGUAACUGUUAUGCGUGUGACGGUAUCUAACCAGAAAGCCACGGCUAACUACGUGCCAGCAGCCGCGGUAAUACGUAGGUCCCGAGCGCUGUCCGGAUUUAUUGGGCGUAAAGCGAGCGGAGGCGGCUAGAAAAGUCUGAAGUGAAAGGCAGUGGCUCAACCAUUGUAGGCUUUGGAAACUGUUUAACUGGAGUGCAGAAGGGGAGAGUGGAAUUCCAUGUGUAGCGGUGAAAUGCGUAGAUAUAUGGAGGAACACCAGUGGCGAAAGCGGCUCUCUGGUCUGUAACUGACGCUGAGGCUCGAAAGCGUGGGGAGCGAACAGG